GGUUUGGAACCCCCCUUUUGAAAACGGCUGGAUCCGCUCUUGAGGUCACACUGCUAUAGCCUAUCCACAUGGGUAAUAUCGAAAUAGACAAAAAAUAUCAUUACUUAAAAGAAAAAAAAAACAUUCAUUCAAACAAUCCAAUCCAAUACAGCUCCAAAUAACAAUGAAUAUUCAAAUGGUAAAAUAAAAAUUCCAAACAAAUUAAUAUGUACAAAUGCUGAUGUCCCGGACUUUGAAGAUACCAACUGAGUAGCCUCAGACUAUAAAUUUAACAACUUCAGAUACAACGAAAAUCAAAAAUCUUGUCAAACAG
rnacentral:lncRNA from 1 species